rnacentral:rRNA from 1 species
UACGUAGGGAGCAAGCGUUGUUCGGAUUUACUGGGCGUAAAGGGCGCGUAGGCGGCGCGGUAAGUCACUUGUGAAAUCUCUGAGCUUAACUCAGAACGGCCAAGUGAUACUGCAGUGCUAGAGUGCAGAAGGGGCAAUCGGAAUUCUUGGUGUAGCGGUGAAAUGCGUAGAUAUCAAGAGGAACACCUGAGGUGAAGACGGGUUGCUGGGCUGACACUGACGCUGAAGCACGAAAGCUAGGGUAGCAAACGGG